rnacentral:tRNA from 1 species
GCUCAUUUGGCUCAGUGGAUAGAGCAUUGGCCUGCAGACCAAGCGGUCCUCGGUUCGAUUCCGGUCAAGGGCA